rnacentral:rRNA from 1 species
AGAGUUUGAUCAUGGCUCAGGAUGAACGCUGGCGGCGUGCCUAACACAUGCAAGUCGAGCGAUCUUCUUCGGAAGAGAGCGGCGGACGGGUGAGUAACGCGUGGGUAACCUGCCUCAUACACAUGGAUAACAUACCGAAAGGUAUGCUAAUACAAGAUGAUAUAAGAGAUUCGCAUGGAUUUCUUAUCAAAGCUCCGGCGGUAUGGGAUGGACCCGCGUCUGAUUAGCUAGUUGGUAGGGUAACGGCUUACCAAGGCGACGAUCAGUAGCCGACCUGAGAGGGUGAUCGGCCACAUUGGAACUGAGACACGGUCCAAACUCCUACGGGAGGCAGCAGUGGGAAUAUUGCACAAUGGGCGAAAGCCUGAUGCAGCAACGCCGCGUGAGUGAUGAAGGCCUUCGGGUCGUAAAGCUCUGUCCUCAAGGAAGAUAAUGACGGUACUUGAGGAGGAAGCCCCGGCUAACUACGUGCCAGCAGCCGCGGUAAUACGUAGGGGGCUAGCGUUAUCCGGAUUUACUGGGCGUAAAGGGUGCGUAGGUGGUUUCUUAAGUCAGGAGUGAAAGGCUACGGCUUAACCGUAGUAAGCUCUUGAAACUGGGAAACUUGAGUGCAGGAGAGGAAAGUGGAAUUCCUAGUGUAGCGGUGAAAUGCGUAGAUAUUAGGAGGAACACCAGUAGCGAAGGCGGCUUUCUGGACUGUAACUGACACUGAGGCACGAAAGCGUGGGGAGCAAACAGGAUUAGAUACCCUGGUAGUCCACGCCGUAAACGAUGAGUACUAGGUGUCGGGGGUUACCCCCCUCGGUGCCGCAGCUAACGCAUUAAGUACUCCGCCUGGGGAUACGCUCGCAGAGUGAAACUCAAAGGAAUUGACGG